GUUAGUGGCACUCGGGAGUGGGAAUGGGAGAAAGGGGCAGCAUGAUCUUACUAUGCAGACUGUAUUUCCAGAAACCUGCUCAGCCAGCUCCUGAUGGAGAACACAUGUAGGAAGAUGUUGUUCCCACUGAAGCAGGAGAGCAAGGAGGUACAUCUUGAUUGUGCACUGAACCAGAAAUAUUUGGUUGACUUCAACAAGAAAGAUAAAGACCAGCAACGUCCAGACCCAGCGUCAUCUGGUCUCAGAAAGUGCAAGAGAGCUGGAAUUGGACACACACCAGUAAGAGAGCUUCAUGAAGAAUAAGUUGCUUUCUCAGGAGUCCCUGAUGACAAACAUCCUGAAUGAAAACAGCACCUGAGAGACAACUUGUGGGAUCUCCUUUCAUUAUGUGUGCAAGAGGAGAAACAGCAAUACAUCUGUGCUUCUAAAUGUUCUUUAAGAGUGUGCUGUUUAGAAAUAUUUUUGUUAUGACUUUAAUUGAAAUUUUCUUUUUGUUGUUUCAUAUUUAUAUGUUCUUGUUACUGUUUUUAUCUUUUCAAAAAUUUUUAAUAUUUUAAUUUAUUUGUUUUAAUCCUGUUUUGUUGUAAAAAUGAAUUCCUUAUGAAUAAAAAUUGAAUUCUAUCUCUUGACU